GUUUCAGGCCAAAAAAUGGUAUCCAUGGAGAUCUAUCAUUGCAAUCCAUGGAUACAUUUUUAAGUCUUCCUCUGCCUCAUUAGGGAUCAGGGAGCUCUGCCUCUGUGAUCUGAACGGCCGCUGUAGAAUGGAAGCUAAUGGGGUAAUUCUGGGCGUAUCUCUGGUCAUCAAUGAUGUGCUGAGUAGCGCUGCUCCAGCUACAGACCACAGGAGACAACGACAUCGCUGCAACAUCUGAUGGAGAAGUUCUUGAUGAUAACAUGGGAAAUGUUGAGAGAAAAACGGAGCUUGCGUCUAAAACUCAAGACCCCAUACAGUUCCUGAUGAAGCAGCAGGGAUUUUUACUGCUGUGGAAGCCGAUGGAGGUUUUUAAAGAGAGCUGGUAUCAAUGACAGAUGGGUUUUGAAAAAAUAAACACCCCAUGCGCUGUUUAAACACUUAUCGCAGCUUUGCAGGGUGGAGAUUUACAUUCCCAACAUGCAAGCUCUGGCCCAGCACAUGGAUGAGGAGAAGGAACAUGAGAUUUUGCUGUCUCAAACUCAGUCUGUCCUUCCACAACCUUGAGCAGCAGAAGUUGACAUCAAAACAUGGCAGUUACUGAGACUCUUGGAGAUCAUGGAGUGUGACAUGAUCCGAGCGCUUCAGAAGAGGAUUAGACUCUAGUGAUGUCGGCACGCUCGCGGCAUGACACGCAGCUCCCCACAGUUACCCAGCAUCCUCUUCUCCUGCAGGAACCCAGAGGAGAUCAAAGAGCACGAUGGGAGGAUGGCGCUGGGCCUGAUUCUCUCUGUAGGCUGUCAUUAGAAAGCCAAUAAACUUCACCACAGUUAGUCUCUUAUAUUUAGGAUAUUGUAACAUUUUCAUCUCAACAGCAACAAAAAAAAUAGUCCUCUCUGAAAUGCAUUGCCUGUCUUCACAUGUCAUUAAGAACUGUGGAAACGGCCUUCGAUGAAGCACACUGUUUCUCUAGAGAUUGUGGAGGAUUUCAUCCAGUGGUUCAUGAGUGGUGUUGAGCCUGAGACUGAUGGACAGGUGACGUUCUCCAGCGCUCAUCUGCAGGAGUGUUUGAAUGAACUGACUUGUGCUGUAAUAAAUCACAAGUUUUCCAGCGAUAUUCCCAGUUUUAUGAGCAAAUCCUUCAACAGCAGGAACAACUUCUUUACCAGAGAGAGCAGGUUUGUCUACACUAUUCAUGGUUUUGUGUCAAGGCUGCAUUCAUUUGAUUAAAAAUACAAUAAUAACUAGAAUAUUGUAAAAUAUUAUUACAAUUGAAAAUAACAUUUCUCUAUUUAAAUAUAUUUUGUAUUAUUAAUACAUUUUGUAUUAUUAUCAAUGAUGAAAACAGUUCCAAGUCUUUGUCAAAUAGAAGAGCUUUUUUAAAAAAUAUAAAUAUUUUGUAACAUUAUAAAUGUCUUUACUGUCACUUUUGAUCAGUUUAGUUCAUCCUUGCUGAAUAAAAGCAUCAGUUUCUUUUUUUUUUUUAAAAGAACAACUGCUGGUGAAGUGAAAAGUUAAGAUGCAUGUGUUUAUCUCACCAGUGAAUAAUCUGUAUCCACAGGAUGUUAAAGAGCUGGAAGCCAAAGAAAUGCAGGCCAGUGACCCCUACAGAAAGAUAUAUGCGUGUAACUGGUGUAUGAU
ensembl:lncRNA